CCUACGGGUGGCAGCAGUGAGGAAUAUUGGUCAAUGGGGGAGAGCCUGAACCAGCGAAGUAGCGUGAAGGAUGACGGCCCUACGGGUUGUAAACUUCUUUUAUAAAGGAAUAAAGUGCGGCACGUGUGCCUUUUUGCAUGUACAUUAUGAAUAAGGAUCGGCUAACUCCGUGCCAGCAGCCGCGGUAAUACGGAGGAUCCGAGCGUUAUCCGGAUUUAUUGGGUUUAAAGGGAGUGUAGGUGGGUUGUUAAGUCAGUUGUGAAAGUUUGUGGCUCAACCGUAAAAUUGCAAUUGAUACUGGCAGUCUUGAGUACAGUAGAGGUAGGCGGAAUUCGUGGUGUAGCGGUGAAAUGCUUAGAUAUCACGAAGAACUCCGAUUGCGAAGGCAGCUUACUAAACUGCAACUGACGUUGAUGCUCGAAAGUGUGGGUAUCAAACAGGAUUAGAUACCCGAGUAGUC
rnacentral:rRNA from 1 species